UACGUAGGGGGCAAGCGUUGUCCGGAAUCAUUGGGCGUAAAGCGCACGUAGGCGGCCCGGUAAGUCCGCUCUGAAAGUCAGAGGCUCAACCUCUGGAGGCGAGUGGAUACUGCCGGGCUAGAGUCCGGAAGAGGCGAGUGGAAUUCCUGGUGUAGCGGUGGAAUGCGCAGAUAUCAGGAGGAACACCUAUGGCGAAGGCAGCUCGCUGGGACGGUACUGACGCUGAGGUGCGAAAGCGUGGGGAGCGAAC
rnacentral:rRNA from 1 species